rnacentral:rRNA from 1 species
UACGGGGGGGGCAAGCGUUGUUCGGAAUUACUGGGCAUAAAGGGUGCGUAGGCGGCUUGUUAAGUCAGGGGUGAAAGUUUUCGGCCCAACCGGAAAAUUGCCUUUGAUACUGGCGGGCUGGAGUGCGUGAGGGGUGACCGGAACGAGUGGUGUAGCGGUGAAAUGCGUAGAUAUCACUCGGAAGGCCAACGGCGAAGGCAGGUCACUGGUGCGCAACUGACGCUGAGGCACGAAAGCGUGGGGAGCAAACAGG